rnacentral:rRNA from 1 species
AGUUUGAUCCUGGCUCAGGAAGUCGUAACAAGGUAACCCGUAGAGUUUGAUCCUGGCUCAGUAAGUCGUAACAAGGUAACCAGUAGAGUUUGAUCCUGGCUCAGGAUAAACGCUGGCGGCGUGCUUCAGGCAUGCAAGUCGAACGAGCGCCAUCCUUCGGGGUGGUUGCGAGUGGCGGACGGGUGAGUAACACGUAAGCAAUCUGCCCGGUAGUGGGGAAUAACUAGCCGAAAGGUUGGCUAAUACCGCAUGUGAUGGCUUGUCCCUGGAUGGGUCAUGAAAGGCGUAAGUCGCUACCGGAGGAGCUUGCGGCCGAUUAGCUAGUUGGCGGGGUAAUGGCCCACCAAGGCUACGAUCGGUAGCUGGUCUGAGAGGACGGUCAGCCACACGGGGACUGAGAUACGGCCCCAACUCCUACGGGAGGCAGCAGCUAGGAAUCUUGGGAAUGGGCGAAAGCCUGACCCAGCAACGCCGCGUGGGCGAUGAAGGCCUUCGGGUCGUAAAGCCCUUUUGCAGGGGAAGAUUAUGACGGUACCCUGCGAAUAAGCCACGGCUAACUACGUGCCAGCAGCCGCGGUAAUACGUAGGUGGCAAGCGUUGUCCGGAUUUACUGGGCGUAAAGGGCGUGCAGGCGGUCUGUUAAGUGCAGGGUGAAAGCUCCCGGCUCAACUGGGAGAGGUCCUUGCAUACUGGCGGACUUGAGGGGGGUAGAGGAAAGUGGAAUUCCCGGUGUAGUGGUGAUAUGCGUAGAUAUCGGGAGGAACACCUGUGGCGAAGGCGGCUUUCUGGGCCCUACCUGACGCUGAGACGCGAAAGCGUGGGGAGCGAACCGGAUUAGAUACCCGGGUAGUCCACGCCGUAAACUAUGGACACUAGGUGUGGGGGGUAUCGACCCCCUCCGUGCCGCAGCUAACGCAAUAAGUGUCCCGCCUGGGGAGUACGGCCGCAAGGCUAAAACUCAAAGGAAUUGACGGGGGCCCGCACAAGCAGCGGAGCGUGCGGUUUAAUUCGUCGCAACGCGAAGAACCUUACCAAGGCUUGACAUGGUAGUGGUACCAAUUCGAAAGAUGCGGGACCCUUCGGGGAGCUAUCACAGGUGCUGCAUGGCUGUCGUCAGCUCGUGCCGUGAGGUGUUGGGUUAAGUCCCGCAACGAGCGCAACCCCUGUUGCCAGUUGUAUUCUCUGGCGAGACUGCCCCGUAAAGCGGGGAGGAAGGCGGGGAUGACGUCAAGUCAGCACGGCCCUUACGUCUUGGGCCACUCGCACGCUACAAUGGUCGGUACAAUAGGUUGCUAAGGAGCGAUCCGGAGCUAAUCCCCAAAGCCGGCCUCAGUUCAGAUUGCAGGCUGAAACCCGCCUGCAUGAAGUAGGAGUUGCUAGUAACUGCCGGUCAGCACACGGCGGUGAAUACGUUCCCGGGCCUUGUACACACCGCCCGUCACGCUAUGGAAGCCGAUAACACCUGAAGUCGCUGAGCUAACCGCAAGGAGGCAGGCGCCGAGGGUGGGAUUGGUAACUGGAGCGAAGUCGUAACAAGGUAAC